rnacentral:rRNA from 1 species
UACGUAGGGGGCAAGCGUUGUCCGGAAUCAUUGGGCGUAAAGCGCGCGUAGGCGGCCCGGUAAGUCCGCUGUAAAAGUCCAGGGCUCAACCCUGGAAAGCCGGUGGAUACUGUCGGGCUAGAGUCCGGAAGAGGCGAGUGGAAUUCCGAGUGUAGAGGUGAAAUUCGUAGAUAUUCGGAGGAACACCAGUGGCGAAGGCGGCUCACUGGCUCGAUACUGACGCUGAGGUGCGAAAGCGUGGGGAGCAAACAGG